GAUGAACGCUGGCGGCGUGCCUAAUACAUGCAAGUCGAGCGAACAGACGAGGAGCUUGCUCCUCUGACGUUAGCGGCGGACGGGUGAGUAACACGUGGAUAACCUACCUAUAAGACUGGGAUAACUUCGGGAAACCGGAGCUAAUACCGGAUAAUAUAUUGAACCGCAUGGUUCAAUAGUGAAAGACGGUUUUGCUGUCACUUAUAGAUGGAUCCGCGGCGCAUUAGCUAGUUGGUAAGGUAACGGCUUACCAAGGCAACGAUGCGUAGCCGACCUGAUGGGGUGAUCGGCCACACUGGAACUGAGACACGGUCCAGACUCCUACGGGAGGCAGCAGUAGGGAAUCUUCCGCAAUGGGCGAAAGCCUGACGGAGCAACGCCGCGUGAGUGAUGAAGGUCUUCGGAUCGUAAAACUCUGUUAUUAGGGAAGAACAAAUGUGUAAGUAACUAUGCACGUCUUGACGGUACCUAAUCAGAAAGCCACGGCUAACUACGUG
rnacentral:rRNA from 1 species